GCCGUCCUGCCCCGUCCCUUCCCCGCCUGCCCGCCGGCUCGCCCCGGCGGCGGCCCGGCCGGAGCCCCCGGCGCCCGGCUCACCUGGGCGGAUUUCUUGCACGGUCCGGACUGCAGGAACCUGGCGAUCAGGUUUCUCUAAGGACUGUGAUCGAUACGUCUUCGGCUUCUCCAGGGUUCUCCCCUUGAGGAGUAGUCUUUGGCUGGUGAGUAAUGCCCAUCUGCAAGUUUAACUUUCAUUCCCCAGGAACUCGUUUCCACAGCGCACUGCAGCCACUCACAGCUUGCAGCUCCGUGACUCAUCUCUUUCUGGAUCCCCUGCAUCCAAGAAGCGGCGUAUUGGGGAAUGAUAGUAAAUCUCCUUGUGAAAGCAAGAUUUGAUGUUAGUGCUUAUUCAUCUCUCUCCAAAGCAGAAUUCUGUGCGUAAAUGCUAACAGAAGCAGUGGUAAUGAGUAGUGAAGGAAAAACAUAUUAAGUGACAUGAUAAUCUUUGCUAGUGAACAGCAGAGAGAUUCAAAAGCAGAAAUGCUUUAAGGAAGAAGCUUAACAGUUCUUCUCCAUACUUGCAUGUUCUUAAAAAAAAAAAAAAAAAGAAAAGGAACAAUAAAAGGAAAGCCUUUGAAGGAUUUUAGGCGUGGAAAGCUUUAGAUAAAAUACUUCUUUUAAUAUAUACCUCUUGUGAAUAUUUACAUCUGUCUGUACCUUAACUAUGAAAGCUCUGAGGUCUACCCAGUAUCCCUGUCUCCCUUUACAAAUUCCCGCACAGUAUUUAAAGGGUAUUUUCCAUUCGCAUGUGAUUAUUCUCUCUUGCCUACCUGUUCACACACUGUCCCACAGGUAGGACCAGUCCCAUUCUGCCACAGCCAAAUGUUUGAAAGACUGCAGGGGCACCUGCCUCUUCCCUAUGCCUCCUGGCAAGACAGAGUGCAGAUUCUUUAUCAAGAACAUCCCUGAUCCAUAGGAAGCUUGAAAGGGUGGGUAACAAAUGCUGAACAGGUACUGGGAGAAUAUCACUGUUAAGGAGAUUUUUUUGAGGUUAUUGAUACAGGUCAUAAUUAUGUGAGGUUGAUUUAUGAGACUUCAUUUGAUGCAUGUGUAUGCAUUUUUCAUAUCUCCAUAGGCUUACUUAAUUCUGCUUGCUUUUCUACCUUCAUAUUGAUAUCUCUUGUCUCUGAUGAGUAUGCCUGGUUCCCUCACACAACAUCUCUAUAUAAAUGUUACUCCAAGUGAAAACCUGUGAGGAAAAAAGCCCUCAGAAAAACGGCCUCAUAAUUGUGGCAUUGCACCAUUUACUUAUUUAAACCACUUUUAGCUUUAAGAAACCCCCUUGUGAUUAACCUAAUGCACCUUAUCCGUCUGAAAAACUCAUUUCUGACAACUCUCCAGUAAUAUUCCAAUACCCAUCUCUCCCACCCCUUUAAUACACUGGAAGCCUCUCAGCACUUAACAAUAAGCCAUUUCUCAGCUUUUAGCUUCUUUUUGAUGUACCCAGGGCUUCAGUAGUGCUUGCAUUCAGGAUCCUUCUCAUACUUUAAUUGUUAGCAGUCUCUACCUCCUCUGUGAGAUGGUAUAUCACCUAAUGCUCUAUCCGGAGUCAAAAGUGGCAAUUAAAGGCCAUAAAAGGCAUAUUUAGACCACAAAAGUCCAUACACAUUCAGUUUUCUCAACUAAGUGUGAAAACAAACACCUGAAAAAUCAGAAAAGAAAGGGAGUGACACAAGUUCUCUACCAUACAAACAAAAUUUCCUAGAGCCAGAGGUCUGUGAUAGAAUAUGAGAGAACCCUGCAAAGGCAGAGGACAGGAGCUGAAGAAAGUACGGACAAGCAAAAGUGGCAGCCAACAGAAAAUGAGAAAACCUCAUCUCUGUUCCUGGUUGCAGUAUUUUUUGCACAAAAAGUCAUUGCUAUCAGAGACAGAUGAGUCAGUGCUCCUCUUGGAAAGCAGAAAGCACGCAGAGUGGAGGAGGUAUGGUCGUGGAAGCAGCAGUGCUUGGUAAAUGGUGUAGAUUCUUUCACAUUCACAAAGACCUACUUUUGCAGAAACCAUGUGUUGGUGGUUAGUAGGCUGGUGGAUACUGUUGGUGUUGGACAGCAAGGAGUAGUGUGAAUGAUAGUUUAGAUUUAAUGUGGUUUAUAGCCAGGAGGCUACUACAUUUCACUUAAACACAGACCCAGGUAUCUUCUCAAAAUUCAGUAAAGUGGUUCAGAAUUUUCUGUGAACUAAAUGAAAGCAGAAUUUGCUAAUUUGUUUUCAGCCAAAUGUUACUGUUUUUUUGGAGAGGCAAGAAGCACUAAAGAUCCUGAAGUGCUAAAGGUUGUUGUUUCAAGAUGGUUAUGCCUAUUGCUUAAACUGGCCUUCUUUAGUAGGAAUAGUAUGACCAAAUUCAUUUUCCAACAUUAUCCACUUCACUCAUAGUAGCUUACUGGGGUAGUUCAUAGAAUCAUAGAAUAAUUUAGGUUAGAAGGGACCUCUGGAGGUUAUGUAGUCCAGCCUCCUGCCCAAAGCAGGCCUAAUUAGACCAGGGUGGUUUGGGCUUUAUCUGGUCAAGUCUUGAACAGCUCCAAGAAUGGAGAUUAUGCAGCCUCUCUGGCGAACCCAUUCCAGUCUUGGACCAUCCUGACAGUAAAAAUUUUUUUGCUUAAGUCAGUCUGAAUUUCCUGUGUUCUGACUUAGGACUGUUGCCUCUCAUCCUAUCGCUGUAGUUGACAGUAAAUGCAAGUAAGCAGAGUUUUCACCUGUUUAAUUUGGUCACUAAAUUAAAUUAAGUUACCCACAGCUAGCUUGUAACACUAAGCAAAUGAAUCUCUCUCUCAUUUUAUUUGCCAUUAUAGUUUCCUGGUGAGUCGUAUUCUGCCUUGUCUUUUAUAGCUUUAACAUACCAGAAGUAAGUAUGUGAUUGCAAUUACUCCAAAACCAGGCAGAAAUAUACAGUUGCAAAUCAAAAAACAAAGUUUAGAUUGGAAUCAUGCCUGCAGGUGUGCUAGAGAGGAACAUGGGCUGUACACAUACUUUUCAGUAGAUUUAAAUAGGAAUGUGUGUCUGAAUCCAUUUGGAUUUACGGGCUAUAGGAAGUUAAGCAUUUUCAGGUUCUUUUUUUCACAGCAUUUUCCAUCCACCUUUAUAUGCAUCAUGCUCAUCUUGUAUCUUAUAUAUGCAGCCAAAUGCUACACCAGGAUAUGAAUUUUUUCAGAAGUGAAAUCCAAGGUUUUUGUUUAAGUGAUACAAAAAUAAGUGCUAUUCAGAAAGAACUUAGAAAUUGGUGCUUUGUACCAUACAGUUGUAGCCAGAUAUAGACACUGAAAAGUCAAGGUUUACUGUAAGAUGAUCUACAAAUUCAGUAACCUCAGAUUAAAUUUUGAUAGCAUAGCUCAUUUAUUGUAAGUAAAUAUGAGAUGCAAAAUAAUUAACAAAACAGUCAAGGUCGUGGGUUUUGAUGAGUGCAGAGGUCGUGUAUGUACAUCAACAUCCCGUCUUGUGGGAGAAAUCUCAAAAUUUCCCCACCUAUUUACAGUUUUUUUCCCGUGUAGCAGCUGUUAAAUAAUAAUCAAAUAGCUGCUAGAUAUUAUACAAGAUCUGGUCUAGGUUUUUUGCUAUUUUUAAUUUUUUGAUACCGUUUAAUUUCACUGCUGCAUCGUACCAGUCGUUCCUCUAGAUGGUGCUCCAUUACCAAGAGUUGCAUGUAACACUAUCCCAUGUGAAAGGCUUUGCAGAAAUCGUCCGGACGACACUCUCCUUUGUUUCCAAAUUCUAGCUUAUAAGAGUUUGUCUAAGUUCAUGGAUUACUUGUUUUGUAUAAUAUAAAUGUAGUGGUUCCUCCUUCGCAAGUCUUAACCUCUGUUUGCUGGUACGUAAAAUGCCACCUGUCUGGAACAGGAUCAUCUGUUACUCCGUGGACUGAUCCAUAUCUCAUAUUUCUUAUGGCAGCCAUUAACUGGUGUUAGCUGUCGAUCUGCUAGACGGUAGGUAACGUCACUGAUGCAAUCGUGGUAACUUUUGUUUGCAUAGUUCUCAAAUUCAUUCUCUCUGAAUAUUACAUAAAUAGUUAUGUAUGUGUUUAUUUUAUAUACAGAUAAAUGCAAAUUUUCAAAUAUGGAUGAAAUGUAUAUAAAAACAGGCAACAGAAAUCUGUGUACCUAUAUACUCAUAGGUCUAUAAAUGGAAUGAUCAGGUAAAUAAUGUUACUAUUCCAGUAAAAUCUAUCACAACAAUCCUGAAUCUCAACGUUAUACCUGAAAUAGCGUGUAACUCAUCAAGUUUUCUAAGUAGGAAAAUUAAUAAUAGUUGUAAGCGACUAGGUAGUUUUCACCGUUGUUGGCAUUACAAUUGCACUCCUCUGCAUCCAUAUCCAAGGGCCUGAUUCUGAUCCUGCAUCACCUGAAGUCACCAGGCAUCUCCGUGCUUGGAUCAAGCCCUCCGUGUGCGAUAUUCCCCGGUUGUUUAAUGCAUUCCCUCUCGUGCAAAUGGCCACUGCUUUCGUUCCAGUUCCCGUUCUGGGGGUUUAAUGAGGCACGAAAGGACUCUCUGCCCUAGAAAUAGUACCCGAUACUUGUUGGAUGAGCUGAUUCAGCAACUUCAAAUCUUACUAAAUCUUUUAAAGGAAUAAUUUUUCCGUAGGGCACAAUACUGCAUUUUCAACUUGUAAAAGCGCCCGGGAGCAGAGGCAUCCCGUAGCGUCCCUGACGGGACACACCGUGCCUGACUGCGUGGCUUGGAGUUCAGCACGUUGUCACAGCAUAGCUGGGUGUGCAAAUUUUACUGCAACUCUAUCAGCUAAAUAUAAUUUAAAUAGAAUUAUGUCCAUAUGUAUCCUAUACAUUUUCUCUGUUAAGUUGUGAGGAUCUUUAAUGGUUUAAUUUUGUAUGUCAGUUUUUCAAAAAUGCUAGCUAUUUUUGUUAAGGCGCCCACAAGCCUCAUAACAGUUUUUAGAAGUGUUACUUUAUUUAUUGAAAUAAAAAUAAGUAUAAAAAUG